GGGGGAUAUUGCACAAUGGGGGAAACCCUGAUGCAGCGACGCCGCGUGGAGGAAGAAGGUUUUCGGAUUGUAAACUCCUGUCGUUAGGGACGAUAAUGACGGUACCUAACAAGAAAGCACCGGCUAACUACGUGCCAGCAGCCGCGGUAAAACGUAGGGUGCAAGCGUUGUCCGGAAUUACUGGGUGUAAAGGGAGCGCAGGCGGGAAGACAAGUUGGAAGUGAAAACCAUGGGCUCAACCCAUGAAUUGCUUUCAAAACUGUUUUUCUUGAGUAGUGCAGAGGUAGAUGGAAUUCCCGGUGUAGCGGUGGAAUGCGUAGAUAUCGGGAGGAACACCAGUGGCGAAGGCGGUCUACUGGGCACCAACUGACGCUGAGGCUCGAAAGCAUGGGUAGCAAACAGGAUUAGAUACCCUGGUAGUCCAUGCCGUAAACGAUGAUUACUAGGUGUUGGGGGAUUGACCCCCUCAGUGCCGCAGUUAACACAAUAAGUAAUCCACCUGGGGAGUACGACCGCAAGGUUGAAACUCAAAGGAAUUGACGGGGGCCCGCACAAGCAGUGGAGUAUGUGGUUUAAUUCGAAGCAACGCGAAGAACCUUACCAGGUCUUGACAUCCGAUGCAUAGCACAGAGAUGUGUGAAAUCCUUCGGGACAUCGAGACAGGUGGUGCAUGGUUGUCGUCAGCUCGUGUCGUGAGAUGUUGGGUUAAGUCCCGCAACGAGCGCAACCCUUAUUGCCAGUUACUACGUUAAGAGGACUCUGGCGAGACUGCCGUUGACAAAACGGAGGAAGGUGGGGAUGACGUCAAAUCAUCAUGCCCUUUAUGACCUGGGCUACACACGUACUACAAUGGCGUUAAACAAAGGGAAGCGAGCCUGCGAGGGGGAGCAAAUCCCAAAAAUAACGUCUCAGUUCGGAUUGUAGUCUGCAACUCGACUACAUGAAGCUGGAAUCGCUAGUAAUCGCGAAUCAGAAUGUCGCGGUGAAUACGUUCCCG
rnacentral:rRNA from 1 species